UUAAUCCAGACGGUUAAAAUUCAACUCCAAAAUCACGCGAGAAAGAGCGUUAUCACGAUUGUUGUGGAAACGAAACGGGGCUUCACUUUUCAGCAAUCUGACACAGUAGUUUUAUCUGUGUUUUAAUCCUCGUGGUAGCACCAUAGAUCUUUCGAGCUUAAUUUGUUCUUAACAAUCAAAGUAUAUUGCUUUCUAAACACUGUUAUGGGAACUUUACUUCCUACUUCCUUUGAAAACGCGGUUAUGAUCUAAACAACAAUUUUACUUGUAUUUUCCUGCUGCAUAAAUCAACGAAAGGAUUCCGCGGCGCUCCAUGAAGAUGGCGCUUUAUAUCGUCAUUGAAGAUAAACUAAAAUCGUGGAAAGAACAACAAGCCAGGAUUCAUCAGUCAAUUCAACUUUGUACCGAAAUCCUAGAUGUUUUAACAUCUCAGCCAAGAUCAUCCCCUGGGUUUCAAUCUGAAUGCAAUUUACCUACAGAUACAUCACAAGUGGACAAAGAAGAAAUAGAUCUUCUUGAAAAGGCUCUGGAAAAAGCACUGCGAGUCCGCUCUGGUUUAGACCCUGUCACAGGCAUUGUCAAACCACCUCUAAGUCAAAACAAAGAAGGUAGUGCUGCAACAAAAGAUUCGCUGCAAUCUUCUAAAGGGCAAACAAAAACUGAUAAAUUGAUAUCCAAAACAACUGAACAAAAAAAACAAAGAAAAUAUCAGACAACAGUCCUUAGUUCUCUCAGCAUGAAACCAGCAGAUGGUUUAAAAUGUCUGCACUCGAAUGCCCCUAAAAAAACAAUGGGGGGACUGCCACAUCAUGGACAACAUACACCUCCCAGUGGAUCUAAAAAGCAGAUAAUCAAAAUGGGUGGCACACAUUCUAAAGAGUCUUUUACAAGCACCCCUGCCUCUUUUUCAAAAACAACGGAGUCAGGAGGAAAUUGUCUGAUUCAACAAGAGAUAUUAAAAUGGACACAUCUCAAACACAAGGAAAAGAGGUUGUGGGACAAAAUUCUAGCCUUGGAAAGGAAAUCUUCAGUGCCUGGGAGGGAUCAUUUCAUGACAAGAAUGAGGCACACGUUCCCCAUGAGGUGGCCAUGUGGUAGCCCAGAAAAGAUUCAAGCUCUGGUGCACAGGCUGUUUCAACAAGGGAAAGAUCCUACAGACGACAGACAGAUGGGUGAUCUAAUGGCCUUGCAGACACCAGAAGAUGACAAAAACCAAGGUGAUACUAAAUUAACAUGUGAAAUGCUGAAAUUGACAUCCCAAGAAAUCCAUCAAUGUGCAGUCCAAGUCAAAAGAGAGUGGGAAUCAUGGGAUCGAUGGAGGCCAGAGUGGGGUUGUCUUUGCCCCAAGAGAGCAGAGGUUGUGGGGCAUGAAGGGAGAACGGCACCCCUGCCCAUAACUGUUACAUAUACAACGGACGGAGAGCUGACAAAGCUGGAGACACUGAGGAUGAGGGUAGCACAGCUACAACAGGAGGUUUGUCUAGAAACGGCCUUGUCCAACACUUUGGCUCCACACCUUUCUUCAGUUGUGCAAAAAUCUGUAAAUCCCAGUCUUCUGAGAGACCUCUAUUCUGUGCUGGGGGAAGGAGGGGAGCGGUUUCCUGCCAUAGUACUUGACUCUGAACCUGACUCCUGAGACACAUUGGACCCUAGUGUUAUAGAGUUGAUUGGUGUGGUCUACAAAACUCAUGCUCACAGAUGACGUGUGGAUGGCACGAGCUGCACCAGACUGGCCGACAGGUGUUGCUGGGUUCACACAGCAGGCCGUGGGUGUAGCAGCCCUCCUGAGCACUAGCAGAGUAGGGUCAGAGCCAACCACAAGCCCAGCCCAGCAGU